CAGUCAAUAAAUAGAGCUCAAGACAUUACAAAUUCAUGCUGACAGGGCUGUGGCAUUGGCCGUCUAUAGUCAAACUGCAAGUAAUUAACGUGCAUGUUACAAGGACAUUUUCAGCAUCUGUUGGGAAAGUAAUGGAAUUAGGACUUUGGAGGAUUAGGUGAUACAGUGAAAAAGUUUGAUUUCAAAGCAUUAUUCACUACAGUGUUUGUUUCUAGGCAGUUAAUGGGUCACCUAUGCUCACUAUAUCCAUUAUAAUGAUGAACAAAUAUGUAGGGAGAGAAUAGCAAGCCCAAUUAACAGUCCCACACAAAAGCUAAAAUUCAUGUCACUGAUUGGAGUGACUGCAACUUAUCAGAUGCUGAAAGAUGACAGAAAAUUUUAGGAAGAAGGCCCUUUCCAUCAGAGCUUGAAGGCUUCUCUGUAACCUAUGCCAACAAGUCUGGUAGUGGUGAGAGGGAAGGCUAACACUUUCAAGCUUUUUGGGCACUUCCUAUGGCAAUCUGUCCCUACCAAAGUGGCCACAGGCUGCAGUCCUCUGAUAAAUUGGCUUUUUCAAAUCAAGAUCCCUGACAAUAACCCAAGGACAAAGAACAAGAUUCUUCUUCACAAUUUCUAAUUGCUCUCUCUCAUUCUGAAAAGUACCAUAAUGGAAAAUGAGAUCAACAAUGGAUAAUAAAUUCCAAUAUGAGAGAAUAAGAACUCUCCUGCACAUACAUCCUUUAGUGAGAGAUUUUGCCACCCAAUGACCAGCAUAAACAACUGAGGGGUCCACAUUAGUAUAAUCCUUUCCUGAAAAGGCCCCUAUUCCAUGAGCUCCCCAACUGCCAUAAGUAUCCACAAUGAUUUUUCAGUCAUUCAAAUCAGCAUUGUAUCAUCCUCAAGGUAUUUUCUAAGUACCAGAGCUUUGAUAACUUUCUCCUUUAGAGCCUCCCUCAUCUCAUCAAGACAAACUUCUUCCUCAUGAUGACUAGAUAUAACAAUUGUGUGGACUCUGAUGGGAGCCACAGUACCUUGAUCUUGCAUAUACUGCACAAUUACUUGAGUUUUAGAAACUGCAUAGCCAAGGCAAUGUGCCAUUGUGACAUCGUUCAGCCAGUUUGGCAUUUAGCUUGUGUGCUAAGACAAUGGUUAAAGGCAUACACUCUACAGUUUCAUCAGUGGCAUAACAAACAUCAAACCCAAUGUUUUUUUUUUCAUUCUGGUUAAGAUGAACACCUGGGUAAUAUCUGGCUUUAUUUCAGAAGGUCAACAAUGCUGAGCCCUCUGUACUCCAUGAAGAUCCUGUGGAACAAAACCAAAGUUCAGAAAAGAAUCAUCUCCUGUUGAAUGAUAAACAGCCAGAAUCACCACUAGGAGCUAAUCAUUUGCCUUCAGACACUGCCAGGAAUGCACAAGAAAAUGAACAGAAAGAAGUAAAAAGGGCUCAAGAGCAACUGCCUUUUUCUCUUGAAAACUCUGCAUCAGCCCAAACAGCAAGUCAGCAGCAGGACUCCUCUCAGCAAGAACCUAAUCAUUCUGGAAGCAGUAGAAGGCAGCAAUUUUAUUGUCCUGUUUUUGGAAUAGGAAGAUUAGGACUCUAAUGAAUUUUCUAAUCUGUAGUUAUCCAGGACUGGGUUGAUUUGUUCAGGUAUGCCUUUGAGGAGCAUAGCUCCACUGUUCCCUUUUCUCAAUGACUACCUUUUCAAUUUAGUAGACUUGGUUUAUAGAAUUACAGGAACACCCUCCCUUGAUCCCAUGUCUUCUGUGUUCACAUUCACUCACGCAUUUCAUCUUAAGUGUGUACAAUGUACCCCAUGCUCAGAAACUCAGACUAUGGUUAUUUUAUUAUCCUUGAUAGAUAGUUUCUGGGGAAUAGUCCCUAAUCUACUACUCUAGCUCUUGGCCUGUUUCCCUUUUCCAGUGAUAUACCCCAGAUUCUUGGGUAGGAGAAAAUACCUUUCCUAGAGCAGUCUUUUGGCAACAGAGAAGUGUUUAUUCAUUUCUAACUAUUUCAGUAUUCAAUUAUCCAACACUUUCAUAAAUGAUAAAUGUGAUAUUUAAACUUAGUUUGAUCAAUCUGAAUUUGAAUAAAUUAUAAUUGAAUUGCAUUCUUUAGUUACUAGAUCUCUCUUCAUGUCUCUGUGUUACUUGCAAUACCUGCAUUUAAUAGAGAGAAUUCCUGAUCAUUUAUCUAGAAGGAUUGUAUACAGCUUCUCUAUUUCCUGAUGUCAUACUCUGGGAUGGGCUGAUAUCUAUUUUUGUGAUGAUAUGACUUUUAGU
rnacentral:sRNA from 1 species